rnacentral:rRNA from 1 species
AACGAACGCUGGCGGCAUGCCUAACACAUGCAAGUCGAACGAGACCUUCGGGUCUAGUGGCGCACGGGUGCGUAACGCGUGGGAACCUGCCCUUAGGUUCGGCAUAACUCCCCGAAAGGGGUGCUAAUACCGGAUAAUGUCUUCGGACCAAAGAUUUAUCGCCUUUGGUUGGGCCCGCGUUGGAUUAGCUAGUUGGUAGGGUAAAAGCCUACCAAGGCGACGAUCCAUAGCUGGGCUGAGAGGAUGAUCAGCCACACUGGGACUGAGACACGGCCCAGACUCCUACGGGAGGUAGCAGUGGGGAAUAUUGGACAAUGGGCGAAAGCCUGAUCCAGCAAUGCCGCGUGAGUGAUGAAGGCCUUAGGGUUGUAAAGCUCUUUUACCCGGGAUGAUAAUGACAGUACCGGGAGAAUAAGCUCCGGCUAACUCCGUG